rnacentral:rRNA from 1 species
GACGAACGCUGGCGGCGUGCCUAAUACAUGCAAGUCGAACGCAUUUUCUUUCACCGUAGCUUGCUACACCGAAAGAAAAUGAGUGGCGAACGGGUGAGUAACACGUGGGUAACCUGCCCAUCAGCGGGGGAUAACACUUGGAAACAGGUGCUAAUACCGCAUAAUUCCAUUUACCGCAUGGUAGAUGGAUGAAAGGCGCUUUUGCGUCACUGAUGGAUGGACCCGCGGUGCAUUAGCUAGUUGGUGGGGUAACGGCCUACCAAGGCUGCGAUGCAUAGCCGACCGGAGAGGGGGAUCGGCCACACUGGGACUGAGACACGGCCCAGACUCCUACGGGAGGCAGCAGUAGGGAAUCUUCGGCAAUGGACGCAAGUCUGACCGAGCAACGCCGCGUGAGUGAAGAAGGGUUUCGGAUCGUAAAACUCUGUUGUUAGAGAAGAACAAGGAUGAGAGUGGAAAGUUCAUCCCUUGACGGUAUCUAACCAGAAAGCCACGGCUAACUACGUG